rnacentral:rRNA from 1 species
UACAGAGGGGGCAAGCGUUAUUCGGAAUUAUUGGGCGUAAAGGGCGCGUAGGCGGCUUUUCAAGUGACGGGUGAAAUCCCUCGGCUUAACCGAGGAACUGCCUGUCAGACUGGAAGGCUUGAGACCGGGAGAGGUGAGUGGAAUUCCCAGUGUAGCGGUGAAAAUGCGUAGAUAUUGGGAGGAACACCAGUGGCGAAGGCGGCUCACUGGACCGGAACUGACGCUGAGGUACGAAAGCGUGGGGAGCAAACAGG